rnacentral:lncRNA from 1 species
CUCUUGAUAAUAAUAGUUCGCAAGAUCAUUUAUCUUGAUAUACAUAUACAUAUACAUACUGAACAUAUCAUAUACAUAUCAUAUACAUACUAAACAUAUCAUCAUAACGUAGUGGACUAUAUGUCAGAGAUCAGAUAACACCCGAAGGUGACCAGAUGACACCCGAAGGUGACCAGACCAGAUGACACCCGAAGGUGACCACUGUGGGAUGAUCAGUCGCCACAGGCUGAUGCCUCUCUCACCAGCUAGGUAUACAUACAGAAUACUAUGUGCACACAGGCUAACUACUCUCCGUUAGCAUGGAGUUACUGACAAGUCCCAUAUCAAGGCAUAAUAGAUAUUCAUAUAAUCAUCAAAUAAACGUAUAUCAUAUCAAAUAAAAUUUACUUUGACAGAUUGCGAGUGCAAAUUCAAGAAUAAAUGAGUACUCGGAAAAUAAGUAACAUAUAUAAUUAUUCAAGAAAUUAACGAGUUGUACUCAUUGUAUAAUCAACAUACAUAUUUACUUAUCAUAUAUGCAUAUUAAAGAUUAUUCCAC